ACACACACAAAAUAUAAUAUGUUAUUUCAUAUCAGUAAUACAAGGCUUGUGUGCGUAGUUGGACAUAUGUCAUUCUCUCUAUGUGUGUGGCUUAUGGGCUUUGUGUUCUCAUCAUCUAUAUACAUACACACACGUAUACAAUGCAUUGCAGCCUGUUUAACAUAGCAGGUAUAUAUAAACGAAAAUUUAGGAACUGUUAACUACGUUGGUCUCACCAGCUAGCAUUGAUUGUUAAAAGUGCGAAUUCUACAUCAGAAAAUUAAAAACAUUAUAUAUAUGCUUAUAAAGUGUUAAGCGACUCUCGCUUUGUUCAUUGAUUUCGCCCCAACACGAUCAUGUGAUCGAUCAAAUUAGAGAGACCUAUUUAUAUGAGUAGUGAGUAAAUGGAGCCAGGAAAACCACGUUAAGUAUAUUUGAUAGGGUAUGCAAAUGCAAGGUCGAUCUGACAAUGAAUAUGAGGUGUAUGCAAGGGACUGUUCGCUUGACAAGGUUUUGCAUGGAAUGUGACACCUCCAUCGAUCGCUAACUCUCUCUCUCCAAGUUGUAUAUUGAUAUGUCAGUUUCCAAUGGACCACAUUACAACCACACCCACAUGCAAAUGGCAGGCAUCCUGCUUAAAUUCCGGGUCCGAUCUCUCUUUCUCUUUCAAGUAUAUUGUUCUGUGUUUUUAUUUUUUUUUUAUAUUUUGGUUGAAUAAACUAUCCUUUACUUAUAAAAAUAACUAAAAAUUGACUUUCUUUAAAAAAAUUGGGAACUGAUUGCUACUACUGAAUUAUAUAAACUGACUAUAUUGGAGUGUUAACAACAAUUCUUAAAUUUUAUUCACAAAUACUUAUAACUUAUUACAAAGUUGGAGCAUGUAUGUUCUUCUCAGCCCUACUUUUAACUAAUUGUACAAUUCAGUAUGUAGAUUAGCUUAUCGUUCAUCUUUAUUUCCCUUAUAGCUAAAUAUAUGUAAUAGCUGAUUUGAUUUGUUUUCAAUUACCCAAGCAAAGCCCGUGGAUGAUGACAUGAAUUACAAGCAAUCUGGUCUUAGCUGGCAUAAGCCAAUAUGGUAAGAAGGAUGUGGGAUUGAUUUCUGCACAUCCCUUUUUAGUUAUGAUCCUUUCUUUUUAAUUUUUUUACUAUUAUUAGAACAUGGAAGAGUUUGAAACCAUUACAAUAAUUUAAAGAAUGAGAAAUUUCAAACCCAUAACGCAUUGGCAUAAACCCAACACCUAUCCACUAAGAUAUUAGAUCACAUGUGCUCUGAGCCCUUUUCUCUUGUACUUUGUACAAUUCAACAGUUAAAAAAAGAAGAAUGUACGUGACCUGAAAAGAAAAGUGGUGUGUAGAACUGACUUCACUUACAUCGAUCAAAUGCGACGAACUAGACAUAUAGGGUCUCACAUGUGCGGAGCUGCUCUGCCUACUUGUCUCAUGUAUGAUAUUUGUAUAUGCAUCAAUUGCAAAUGAAGGACGCAAGUAUCGUCCUUAUUGGUAUGUAUAAUAAUGUUGUGUAGGAAAAAGCUAAAACGUAUGAUGUGCGAAAAGGAAGUUUUCAUACCUAGAUCACCGCAAGGCCAAGCUAUCUGAGGACUCACUUCUCUUCCCUUGCUACAUAUAUAAUAUGUUGGAAAAAUAUCUAUCUUGAAAUCUCUUUGAAGUCUAAAUUUCAACUUGUAGUUUUCUACCAAAGAAAAGAAGAUUUACUUAGAGAAGAAAAUUUGCUUAGAGACGAGUCUUAUUAACAAAGGAGUAUACCUAGUAGACCUCCAUCAGCUUGAAGCCUGGCAAGAUCUCUGAUGAGCAAAUUAUAUAUGUUGCCUAUCCAGUUAAUUAACUCUAACCGAAACUUGUUUAAAACGCUCAUGAUCAAACUAACACAAGUAAAACCGUCUCCAGUUUCCUAUCGUUGAUAGCGAUGUUUACAGAGGAUGCAUGUGCUACAGUUUGUUAUAAUUUUUUGGUUCGAUUUCUAGCAACAUAUAUAGUAGGAACUAUGAUCUCCCAAGCCCUAAUUAUACAGAGGCUGAAAUUUUUCUU